AGAAUCAACGCUGGCGGCGUGCCUAACACAUGCAAGUCGAACGAGAAAGUGGAGCAAUCCAUGAGUAAAGUGGCGACCGGGUGAGUAACACGUGACUAACCUACCUUCGAGUGGGGGAUAACCUCGGGAAAACCGAGGCUAAUACCGCAUAACAUCGUGAGAUCAAAGCAGUAAUGCGCUGGAAGAGGGGGUCGCGGCUGAUUAGUUAGUUGGCGGGGUAAUGGCCCACCAAGACUAUGAUCGGUA
rnacentral:rRNA from 1 species